AGCGAACGCUGGCGGCAGGCCUAACACAUGCAAGUCGAACGAACUCUUCGGAGUUAGUGGCGGACGGGUGAGUAACACAUGGGAACGUGCCUUUUGGUUCGGAAUAACUCAGGGAAACUUGUGCUAAUACCGAAUGUGCCCUUCGGGGGAAAGAUUUAUCGCCAUUAGAGCGGCCCGCGUCUGAUUAGCUAGUUGGUGAGGUAACGGCUCACCAAGGCGACGAUCAGUAGCUGGUCUGAGAGGAUGACCAGCCACACUGGGACUGAGACACGGCCCAGACUCCUACGGGAGGCAGCAGUGGGGAAUCUUGCGCAAUGGGCGAAAGCCUGACGCAGCCAUGCCGCGUGAAUGAUGAAGGUCUUAGGAUUGUAAAAUUCUUUCACCGGGGACGAUAAUGACGGUACCCGGAGAAGAAGCCCCGGCUAACUUCGUG
rnacentral:rRNA from 1 species